rnacentral:rRNA from 1 species
UACGAGGGGGGCGAGCGUUGUUCGGAAUUAUUGGGCGUAAAGGGUGCGUAGGCGGUUUGGUAAGUCUUGUGUGAAAUCUACAGGCUCAACUUGUAGUCUGCACGAGAAACUGCCGGGCUUGAGUGUGGGAGAGGUGAGUGGAAUUCCUGGUGUAGCGGUGAAAUGCGCAGAUAUCAGGAGGAACACCGGUGGCGAAGGCGGUUCUCUGGGCAUGUCCUGACGCUGAGGAGCGAAAGUGUGGGGAGCGAACAGG